AACGAACGCUGGCGGCAGGCCUAACACAUGCAAGUCGAGCGAAGCCUUCGGGCUUAGCGGCGGACGGGUGAGUAACGCGUGGGAACGUGCCCUUUGGUACGGAAUAGCCCCGGGAAACUGGGAGUAAUACCGUAUGUGGUCGAGAGACGAAAGAUUUAUCGCCAAAGGAUCGGCCCGCGUUGGAUUAGGUAGUUGGUGGGGUAAUGGCCUACCAAGCCGACGAUCCAUAGCUGGUUUGAGAGGAUGAUCAGCCACACUGGGACUGAGACACGGCCCAGACUCCUACGGGAGGCAGCAGUGGGGAAUCUUAGACAAUGGGGGAAACCCUGAUCUAGCCAUGCCGCGUGAUCGAUGAAGGCCUUAGGGUUGUAAAGAUCUUUCAGUGGGGAAGAUAAUGACUGUACCCACAGAAGAAGCCCCGGCUAACUCCGUGCCAGCAGCCGCCGUAACAC
rnacentral:rRNA from 1 species